GUGAUUUGGAGUUAUAUCGAAGAAGUUAUUAACGUUCGAAAUUUGGGAUUUUAAGGAAUUAUAAUUUUAGUGAAGUAUAGAAAUUCUUUUAUGAAAAUGGACGGCCCGGAUUUAUUGAUGAAUGAAAUGGAUGGCUGGGAUGAGGGAAAGGUUUUUGGUGUGUGUAUGUGUAUGAGAAGAAGAAACAGAAAACAGAAAAGAAGAAGAGACUGGGCAGAAAUGCCCAAUCGGAGAAGAAGAAGGUGAGAGCAAACCAGAAGAAGGGAGAGGAAGAAGCUGACCAAUCAGGGGACGGAAAGGAGGGAAAGGAGGGAGAGUGGUGCGCGGGGGAACAGGAGGAAUGGGUCACCCUUGACCCGCGCGACCCAAGCUUCCAAAUCGGCGGGUUUUCGCCAUUUCCGUCCAAAUUUCCAACGAAUUGAGUCAAGGACCUAAAGCAAAGCCCAAGAGGUAAUUGAGGCGUUGGAACAAGUUUGAAGGUCGAAUUGGAAACACCCAAUUCUAGGGUUCUUCACGGUUUUGGUGAAAUUGAAGCACUUCCAGGCCAAAUUGGCCUUGGCCACAGGCGCUAAUCUUCAUGACGCCUUGAUGUGU